CCAUACAAUUUAUAUAAAUAAGUUUCCUUUUGAUAUUUUACCAAUGCAAAAGAAUAUCUAAUUUGUGCAUGCUGAUAAAAAAUGAGUUUCUACUCAUCAAUAUUGGUCUUACGUCCCUCAUUUUUUGUCAUCCUACUGGCUAUCUGUUGAGAAGCUAGCUUCCACUGUGCUUUGGAAACUCUCCACUCCAUGCAGCUAUACUGAAACGGAAUCCUGAUUGUCUUAUGUAGGUGUUCAUUCAAUUAUUUCUUUGAUUCUUGCUUUCAUUUUGGAUCGUGCUGCUCAUCAUCACAGAUGGAUCGAAGUUGGAUGAAUGAAAGUCGCAUCAGCCCAGAAUAUGAGGAAGGCGUCGAGCAAUUCUUACAAUUUGCUUCACAAAGAGGUCAACCGGAUGAAGAUGGAAAAUAUUAUUGUCCUUGCA